rnacentral:rRNA from 1 species
GACGAACGCUGGCGGCGUGCCUAAUACAUGCAAGUAGAACGCUGAAGGAGGAGCUUGCUUCUCUGGAUGAGUUGCGAACGGGUGAGUAACGCGUAGGUAACCUGCCUGGUAGCGGGGGAUAACUAUUGGAAACGAUAGCUAAUACCGCAUAAGAGUAGAUGUUGCAUGACAUUUGCUUAAAAGGUGCAAUUGCAUCACUACCAGAUGGACCUGCGUUGUAUUAGCUAGUUGGUGGGGUAACGGCUCACCAAGGCGACGAUACAUAGCCGACCUGAGAGGGGGGUCGGGCACACUGGGACCGGGACAAGGCCCCGAACCCCAAGGGAGGCAGCAGUAGGGAAUCUUCGGCAAUGGACGGAAGUCUGACCGAGCAACGCCGCGUGAGUGAAGAAGGGUUUCGGAUCGUAAAGCUCUGUUGUAAGAGAAGAACGAGUGUGAGAGUGGAAAGUUCACACUGUGACGGUAUCUUACCAGAAAGGGACGGCUAACUACGUG